GCUGGCGGCACGCUUAAAACAUGCAAGUCGAACGUGAAGCCCGGGCUUGCUCGGGUGGAAAGUGGCGAACGGGUGAGUAACACGUGGGGAAUCUGCCCCGAAGACCGGGAUAACUCCGGGAAACCGGUGCUAAUACCGGAUGCCCUCGCCGGGUCGCAUGGCCUGGUGAGGAAAUGGUUUUCCGCUUCGGGAUGACCCCGCGUCCUAUCAGCUUGUUGGUGGGGUAACGGCCUACCAAGGCUUCGACGGGUAGCUGGUCUGAGAGGAUGUCCAGCCACACUGGGACUGAGAUACGGCCCAGACUCCUACGGGAGGCAGCAGUUAGGAAUCUUGCGCAAUGGGCGAAAGCCUGACGCAGCGAUGCCGCGUGCGGGAUGAAGGCCCUCGGGUCGUAAACCGCUUUCAGCAGGGACGAAAUUGACGGUACCUGCAGAAGAAGCCCCGGCCAACUACGUGCCAGCAGCCGCGGUGAUACGUAGGGGGCGAGCGUUGUCCGGAUU
rnacentral:rRNA from 1 species